ensembl:lncRNA
GGCUAGUGCCCACUCCUCCCGCUCGGCUGGAGGCCCAGGGCGGGCCAGGCCCUCUGCAGAGGCACACCCGCCCCCAAGCCCAGGUCUCCUGCCUCCUCUCCACUUUGCUAAAUGCUCAGAUUAAGGCUCCUCCCUCGAAGCAAUUGUCCAUCCCUACACCCGUCUCAUGGAUACAUAAGAGUGCAUCUCAUGAAUAUUUUAUUUUAGCAAUGACCAAGGUCAAACUCUUCAGAAGAAAACUGAGACAAAGAAAAUGAACAGCUCGGCCCCUGUCACAGGGUAGAACGGGAGCAAAACCGAAGUCCCCUCUGCCCCAGCUAAGAGCCCUGUCCACUCUUUUUGUGACUUUAGCACUUACUCAUGUAGCCGCAGCAUCGCUGCCACCGACCCGCGUCCCAGAAGAAUCCCUGUGUUCAGUUCCGUGGAGCCUCCCCACCCGAAGAGCACAGGGGCUCCUUGAGGGCAGGGACGGAACCUUUCACGCCCUUGGCUUGCAUGGAGUGAGAAGACAGAGCAAAGGACAGCCGGAUUUAAUUAGCUAAAUCUCAGCUCAGACAGCACCAGAUCCUUCCCCCCGGCCACCUCCCACUGCCCCAGCAAUCUCAGCCGGCACACGUCUCCUGAUUGCAUUUCCAGGUCCUCCCGUGCCUUUGAUGAACUUCUGUGUUUUUCAGCCGCUGAAACGGCAGAAGCAGCCAUUGUGUUGCCCCAGGUGGGAAAUAGCGCUGUAGGGAACAGGCAGUUAAUAAGCUUAACAGGUAGGGACAGAGGCUCGUUAAUGGUUGCUCUGUGAUUUGUGGCUAGUUCCUCCCAGCCCCUAAAUCUUGAAAUAAAUAUAUUCAGAGACUUCGUUAUCCCAGAAGAGGAUGUGGAUCAUUUUUCUUUCAUUAACAACGGAGCCACCACAGCAACGUGUGUAUUAUCCGUGCAUUUCCAAGCCCAGAAGCUUGUCCCUUUAAAGCUGCUUGCACUGAAGUUUGAUCAGCCUUUGAUGAAAGAAGACUUACAGAUAGCAGACAACCUGGUAACCAUCUGUGCCCAAUGCAUAUUAAAAGAGAUGUAAACUCACCAAAGCUUCCCAGCAUAUAUCAGUUUAUCCACUCCAGGGAAGACAGAGGAUGAUUAGAUAAUCUGGGACCAAAUCUCUGGACUCAGCAGGGCCAUGUUAAUGAGGAACUUUGCUGAAGUGAACAGCAGGCGGGUACCCUCAAGAAAGGAAAUUUCUGGAUGGAGGGUGUCUCCAACUUUUCCUCUUUCUGGUUAUCUCUCUGACGUGGUAGACGCUUAGGGAUGUCUCUGUCCAACCACAAGACCACACACACAUCCCUGAGCCCUAACAGGUGUGGGUCCAGGCAGCUACGUCAUUACAUCCUAUGACCCUCUGUGACCACCUUCCCCGGCGCCUCAUGUCCAUACAUCCUUGGAGAAGCUUUUGGCCCAGGCUGAGAGGCGUCUUCUGCAAUCGGAACUCAGGGCAUCACCAUAUCCUCCGUCUGACAAUCCGCUCUGACCAUCUCAACUGCUCAGAUAUUUUUCUGUGACUUUGGAAUGGACGCGGAGAGGACCAACUCAGACGUUUGAGAAACAUCCUUGUAACGUUGGGAGUGGAAGGGGCGGCAUCUUCUGCCACGUGCUGGGAGAAACAGCCAAGGCUGGUGCGGCGGAAGAACAAAAACAAAUCGGGAGCACGUGGAGCUGGAGGCAGAGACGUCGGGGGAUGCCGAGGGGGCCUCUGGCGGAAGGGAGAGCAAACCCCACCGCCUCGAGCGGCAUCUCCAGCAGGGACCCGGCGGAGUCCUGGGGCGCCUGCAGCCCGCUGGGGUCAGGGACGCAGCGACUGCCUUGCCGUGGCUGUGGUGUCUGCAGCCCGCGGCUGGGGGUCCCGCGCGGCCAGGGCACAGUCCUCCCCCGAGGAGAGGUGGGCAGCGCCCGGUGCCCACGCAGUGACGGCUGCGGUCCUUUCCUGGAGGUGCUCUGGCUGGCUCAGGGCGUUGCCGUUCAACACAGCAAAGCUAGCUAGUACUUCUUGAUCAUUGCGGAGGGAAAAUGCCCCUAAGAUUGUAUAAACAAUAUACAGAAAUGUUCUGACAUGCGUGCCCCUAAUAUGAUCACCAAGACGCACAGGUCGCCCCCACAGCGUGCCUGCCACAGAAGGCACCACCUCUUACUAACCCUGAGGCCACACGAGCUAAAGGCUAACUCAGGGGCUUCCCAGUAAAUCCAGGACCAGCACUCCACCCAGGUGUCACACCAGGAAACACAAGAGAAAACAAAGACUUGCCAAGGAGUGAGAAGCCAAAGGGAGGCGAAGACCGCAUACAACGCGGGACCCGGAGUGGGUCCUAGAACACGAAGAUGACGUUAGUGGGGAAGUGGGGGAAACCUGAGUCAAGUCUGUAGUGACAGCCCUGCGCCAGUGCCAGUGUCUCAGCUUUGAUCACUGUUCCAUGGUUAGGUAACACGUGAACAGAAGGAGAAGCUGGGUGGGCGGGGAUUCUCUGUGCUGUUUUCUCAACUCUUCUGAGUUGAAAACUAUCUCAAAAUAAAAGAGGUUU